GAUGAAGAACGUAGCAAAAUGCGAUAAGUAAUGUGAAUUGCAGAAUUCAGUGAAUCAUCGAAUCUUUGAACGCACAUUGCGCCCGCUGGUAUUCCGGCGGGCAUGCCUGUUCGAGCGUCAUUUCAACCCUCAAGCCCCCGGGGUUGGUGUUGGGGAUCGGCUCUGCCCUUCUGGGCGGUGCCGCCCCCGAAAUACAUUGGCGGUCUCGCUGCAGCCUCCAUUGCGUAGUAGCUAACACCUCGCAACUGGAACGCGGCGCGGCCAUGCCGUAAAACCCCAACUUCUGAAUGUUGACCUCGGAUCAGGUAGGAAUACCCGCUGAACUUAAGCAUAUCAAUAAGCGGAGGA
rnacentral:misc_RNA from 1 species